AAUACAUGUACUUUCAUGCGCACCUCUGGUGCGUAGAUCUCUUUCUUCCAGGAUUGACCAAACGAUUUCGGUUUGUCUGUUCGGGCUAAGGUUUUUUUGUAUGUUUAGAACAUGUUUAAGCUUGAUUCUGCACUUAGUUUGACCAGUUUAGUCGACAUAUAAUAUGUAAUUUUGAAGUUUAGAUGCGCAUCGACUAGAAUUUUGGCUGCAUUUCAACCCGGAUUUUGUCGCAUUUGGUAACCUAAAGACACAGACUUGAAAACCAAAGGCAGUUUUUGACAUUUAUCUUCAACCUCCACCUGAGAGCCUGGAUUGGUCUGACUGACUCUGUUACUGAGGGGCCCUGGAAGUGGGUGGACGGCACAUCACUGAUCACAGGGUGACAGAUUUGACCAUUUUACCAGGUACUGGAGGACAGGACAGCCCGAUGAUAGUGGGCAAGAGGACUAUUCAGGUCCUGAAUGGUUAGGUGAUGAUUCCACCUAGUGGUUAAAGUGAGAGAUGAACUCACCAUAGAAGUGAAAUAGUGGUAUGACAGACUGUCUCAAAACACAUUGAAGAACAGAAUCCUAGGGGACUGACCUUGGUCCCUCUCCUCUAAUAGGGUUGAAAGGAGGAGACGAGAUAACGUCUUAGUGUCAGAGAGCCAUAAAGGAGGAAGAAGAAAAUAAAGAGAAAGAUAGAAAAAUAAGACAAUUAAUUGUUGUGUUUAGAUUUAGAGGAGAGUAUGUAGACAUAGGCAUGCUUUUCAACCGGUCGCUGCCUGCACCUGCAUGCCCGACUAGCAUCACCACCCUGGAUGGUUCCGACCUAGAAUAUGUGGACGUC